AGAAAUUCAUUACUUCAUACCAAGAUGUCAAGUUUUCCGAAAUUAUUUUUCACAAAUUCAGCAAGGGAAAUAAUGCUAUCAGGGUCAACCACAUCAAGUUGAUGGUAAAUCACAAGGUCAUCAGAGAUGCCAGAAUCUUUCAGCUUUUGAACAGCUUCAAGACCCCUUUUUUCAUCUCUGGCUGUUAACACCACCAAAAUCCCAUUAGAAGCCAACUGCCUACAUAUUUCAUAUCCAAUCCCCUUGUUUGCUCCUGUCACAACUGCAUACCUGAGACAGAAAUACUUUAAGAACGUAAUGAUUCUCUUAACAACUCUUUAAGGAAAAGAAGAAGAAGAAGAUGAAAGAGCAUAUAGCUACCUCUUUGUUGCAAGACUGGUUGACUCUUGGGCCAUGGCUGAUGGUGUGAAAGAUGAUAUCGGAUGAAUUUAGAAAGGAAAGCAGAAGUUAAUGGCUAUCUUACUGCCUGUAAGAAACUUCAAAUAGAUACGAUUCUUAUAUCCGUCACUAUCCCAUGGGCCAGGCCCUCCUAGGCAAAGGAUAAACAUCAGCCGAAGAAGGUGCAAAAAUCAAACUUCUUUCUAGAAAUAAUAUAAAAUAGACUUUUCUUUGUCAUAAAUUUUUUUAAAAAAAUUGUUGAUAGAAUAUCUUAGAAAGCUGCAGAAGACCAGGAAGGUAUGCUAUUGAAUGUUGAAUGGAUUUCAUCAAUGAAGAUCUUUGCUAAGGACCAAGAUUUUAGGAAUGGAUCACUGAUUAUAUUUGAUAUGUUGUUAUAUAAUAUUUUUGAAUUUUGAAUUGUCUUUGUUUUCAAGUAAAAUUCUAACUCUAUUUAAAGAGUAUUCUGAAAUCAAUAAUAUAAUUAUUCCAUAAAUUGGUAUGGGAGCAAUAGAUUUUCUUGAAGGACUUGUGAGUUGAGAGAAACAAAAACACAAACCAAAUCAAACCACAAACAAAACCAAAAAACACAAAAUGGAUUCUGAAACAAUCAUCUCACACGGUUCACCACCAAUCUUCAAUGGUGAAAACUACAAAACAUGGGCCAUCAGAAUGACAGUGCAUCUGGAGGCGUUAGAUCUCUAGAAAGCUAUGGAAGAAAACUAUGUUGUUCUUGACUUGCAUGCAAAUCCAACUGUAGCCCAAUUAAAGAUUCAUAGGGAGAAGAAGACAAGUCCAAGGCCAAAGCUUGCUUAUAUGCUGCAGUGUCGAAUACAGUAUUCAUAAGAAUCAUGAAUUUGGAUUCUGAAAAAGGUAUUUGGGAUUAUCUUAAAAAGGAAUAUCAAGGCAAUGAAAGAACUAAAAAUAUACAGGUUCUUAACUUAAUCAGAGAAUUUGAAAUGCAGAAGAGGAAGGAAAUCGAAAACAUCAAAGAUUAUGUUGACAGAUUGUUAAGCAUAAUAAACAAAGUAAGAUUGCUUGGAAAAGAAUUUUCUGAUGACAGAAUUGUGCAGAAAAUACUGGCCACUAUGCCUGAAAAAUAUGAGUUUAAGAUCUCUUUAUUAGAAGAGUCAAAAGACUUAACCAGCAUCUCUCUUGGAGAAUUGACAAAUGCAUUGCAGGCACAAGAACAGAGAAGAUCAAUGAGACUUGAAGAAUCAAUGCACGGAGCUUUUCAAGCAAGAACUCAAUGUCAAGGAGGAGGCAAAGACAAGAGAUUCAUUAAGAAGAAAAAUGUUCAAACUUACAGUAACAAGGUGGAAACAUUUCCACCAUGUACCUACUAUAAAAAAACAAAUCAGCAGCCAAUCAAGUGCUGGUGGAGACCAAAUAUCAAGUGCAGAAAAUGUGGACAAAUUGGACAUGUUGAAAUAAUCUGUAGGACACAACAAGAAGAAAAGGCGAAUCUUAUUGCACAACAACCUGAAGAGGAGCAGCUGUUUAUUGCAUCAUGUUUUUCAACAUGUAAUAGUUUGAAUGAUUCCUGGUUGAUUGAUAGUGGCUGCACAAACCACAUGACAAACAAUUAGGAUUUGUUCAAGGAACUUGACAAAACUGCUAUUUCCAAAGUUAAAAUUGGAAAUAGUGAUUAUAUUGAUGUCAAAGGCAAAUGAAUUGUUGUCUUAAACAGUCUGUCAGGUUUGAAGUAUAUUUCAGAUGUUUUAUAUGUGCCUAACAUUGAUAAAAACUUGCUUAGUGUUGGACAGCUUAUGGAAAAAGGUUUCAAAGUAAUAUUUGAAGAUCAAUGGUGUUUGAUCAAAGACAACUUGGGUAACAAUAUGUUCAGGGUAAAAACAAAAUCAAAAGGUUUUACUUAAAACCUUAUGAAGAACGAGUAGAGUGUGUUUUCUGCAAAAACAUGCAGUGACGAGCUGUGGCAUAAAAGAGUUGGACAUUUUCCAUCAUGCAGGGCUUAUGUAUAUGCAAUAACAUACUCUUGUAAAAGGAGUACCACAACUGGAGAACAAAUCAGCAAACUGUGCAGCAUGUCAAUAUGGAAAGCAGGUAAAAAAACCUUUCCCUCAUGCAACCUGGAGAGCAACAUGAAAACUUUAGUUAGUACAUACAAACGUUGGAGAUCCUCUAAGUACAGCUUCACUGAAUGGCAGCAGAUAUUAUAUCAUCUUCAUUGAUGAUUAUUCCAAGUUAUGUUGGAUUUUCUUUCUUAAAUUCAAAUCAGAAGUUGCUAACGUGUUCUGGAAGUAUAAAACAUGGAUGGAAAACCAAAGUGGGUGCAGGAUUCAGACAUUAAGAUUAGACAAUGAAAAUGAGUAUACCUGUGGGAUAUUUCAAUAAUUUUGUGAUGAAUUCAUAAUUGAACAUCAACUUAUUGCACCUUACACACCUCAACAGAAUGGUGUGAGUGAAAGAAAAAAAUAGGAGUAUCAUGGAAAUGACUAGAUGUAUGGUGCACGAAAAAGAGUUGCUAAAGAUAUUAUAGGUUGAAGCUGCAAAUACCUCAAUGUAUCUGCUGAACAGAGUGCCAACCAGAGCUUUGCAGGAAAAAAAAAAAACUCCUUUUGAAGCUUGGUUUAGAUACAAACUAGACCUAUAACAUUUGAAAAUUUUGUUGUAUUUGUUUCACUCAUGUACCAUAAUAAGUUGGAUAAGAAGUCAGAACCGGGAGUACUCAUUAGAUACAACAGUCCAUCAAAAGCUUAUAGAAUCUUCCAACCUCAAAAUGGAAGAAUUAUCGUAAGUAGAGACGUCAACUUUAUAGAAGAUAAACAAUAGAAGUGGGAGAAACCAGAAGAAAAGCUGGAAUCAUCAACAGAGAAGCAAGAAUCUCCAAUCUUGGAGAUUUUUAAUGACAACAUUGACGAUGAACCAAUAAGAAGUACAAGAUCAUUAGCUGAAAUUUAUCAAAGUAGCAAUAUUGAUAUAUGUGAACCUGCAGAAUUUGAAGAAGCAGUAAAGAAAAGUGAAUGGAUUGAAGCAAUGCAGGAGGAACUUAGAAUGAUUGAAAAGAACGAUACAUGGGUGCUGAUGGAUAAGCCUUUACACAAGAAGGCCAUAGGAUUCAAAUGGGUUUAUAGAACCAAACAAAAUAUAGAUGGUUCUAUAAACAAAUACAAGGCCAGAUUAGUUAUGAAGGGCUAUGCUCAAGUGUUCAGUGUGGAUUUUUCAAAAACGUUUGCACUAGUAGCACGCUUGGACAUAAUUAGAUUACUACUUGCAGUUGAUGCAUAAAAGAAUUGGAAAGUUUAUCAGCUAGAUGUAAAGUCUGCGUUUCUAAAUAGAUACCUGCAGGAGGAGAUUUAUAUAGAACAACUAAGAGGCUUUGAAGUCAAGGGACAAGAGGAGAAGGUCUACCUGCUAAAGAAAGCUUUGUAUGGCCUCAAACAAGCUCCUAGAGCAUGAUACAUUAGAAUUAAUGAUCAUCUACAUAAACUUGGCUUUGCUAAAAGUUUAAGUGAGGCCACGUUAUAUGUAAAAGGAGUUGAUGCAAACUUAAUUAUUGUAUCUGUUUAUGUUGAUAUUUACUUGUAACAGGAAGUAAUAAGACAUAAAUUAAAGAAUUCAAGGCAGAAAUGCUUGAUGUGUUUAAGAUGACAGAUCUUGGGUUGAUGUCUUACUUCUUUGGAAUGGAGGUGAAACAAAGUGAUGAUGGAAUCUUCAUAUGUCAACAGAAAUAUGCUAAAGAGAUAUUGAAGAAAUUUCACAUGGAAAGUUGCAAGAGCACAAGCACACCUAUGAAUCUUAAGGAAAAAAUCAGCAAGAAUGAUGGAACAAACAAAGCAGAUGAAGGUCAGUACAGAAGUUUAAUUGGAUGUUUAAUGUAUCUUACAGCUACAAGAUCAGACAUUGCAUUUGUUGUGAGCUUGUUGUCACGUUUUAUACAUUGUGCAAGUGAAUUGCAUCUUCAAGCUGCAAAAAGGACAGUAAAAUAUGUCAAAGGUACAAUAAGUUAUGGAAUAAAACUCUCUCAUCUUUAGAAUUUCAUGUUGUAUGGGUACUCUAAUAGUGACUAGGCAAGAUCUGUGGACGACAUGAAGAGCACCUCAAGCUACUGUUUUAGUUUUGGAUCAAGCAUGUUCUCUUGGUGUUCAAGGAAGCAAGAUAAUGUAGUUCAAAGCACAGCUGAAGCUGAAUAUGCAACAAAUACUGCUGUUGUUAAUCAGGCUAUUUGGAUAAGGAAAAUUCUUGUUGAUAUGCAUAUAAAUCAACUUGAACCAACAAAGAUUUAUGUCGACAAUCAAGCUACAAUUUCUAUUGCAAAAAUCCUAUGUUUCAUGGUAGAACUAAGCAUUUUAAAAUCAAAUUAUAUUUUCUAAGAGAAGUGCAGAAAAAAGAAGAAGUUAUUUUGCUAUAUUGUAGAACUAAUGUUCAGAUUGCAUAUGUUCUAACAAAAGCUCUUUCAAAAGCAAGUUUUGAAGAUUUACGAAGAAAGCUUGGUAUUUGAUGGUGUUAAAACAAAGAGGAAUGUUGAUAGAAUGUCUUAGAAAGCUGCAGAAGAUCACGAAGAUGUGUUGUUGAAUGUUGAAUGGAUUUCAUCAAUGAAAAUCUUUGUUGAAGACUAAGAUUUUAGAAAUAAAUCACUAAUUAUAUUUGAUUUGUUGUUAUGUAAUGUUUUUGAAUUAUGAAUUGUAUUUGUUUCCAAGUAAAACUCUAACUCUAUUUAAAGAAUAUUAUGAGAUCAAUAAUACAAUUAUUCCACAAAAAAAAAAUCUAAAGGUGAUUUUCUUUGAAUUUAUUUAGCCCGCAAUGGUUGAUUCAAAAUCAUUAAAGCAAUAGCUGGCCAGGAAGAUGACAAGUAAAUGAUGUGUUGAUGAAUUUGAUGAAAGCAGGUCGUUCAUUUUCGCCGUGCUACAAGAGCAAACAUGCUUAGUUGUUUUUAUGCGAUGCCUCCGUAUGGGUGUCGCUCUCUUACGAGUGGAAGGGGAGUAUUAUUGCAUGUUGGUGCCGCCAUAGAUUAUGAUAUCAUUCUAAGAUUUCAAUUCCUUCAUCAAAUAAAAGUGAAGGAUGUUAUGCUUUCGUUGGCCUCUUCUUCAACAACAGCAGCAGUGCUGUUUUUUAUUUUCUUGUUCAAUUAGAUGAUGUCAAUGCUUAUCUCAAUGCAUUUUAAUUAUUGCAAGAGAGCGUUUCCUCCACGCAAGAAGCGUUAAAAUUAAAAAAAUAAAAAGAAACCCUUUUUAUUAUUAUUUAUUUAUUUGUAUAUCUAUUAAUUGUUCUAUCAAGUAUGUCCCUUCAUGAUCCAAAAUUGGCCAUGCAUUGACAUAUAUAAAGUUUUCCAUUAAAUAUAUAUUUCUUUAAGAAGGCCAAUUAUAAGAAGAAAACAAGAAAAAGGAGAGAUUAUAGUUGAAGGAUUUGUGCACGUCUCCUUUCCUUAUUUCAGCAAAUUUGUCUUACAAGUUAGUUGAUUUCUUGAGUCUCUAUAAUACUAGUUUAUAAGCCAGCAUUAUCUUACGGGUUAGAUCAAAAAACUUUUGAAUGUAAAAAAACAAUAUUAAAAAUAUUCUUUGUUUGUUUAUGUAAAUAAAAAAUAAUUAAAAAUAAUUGUUGGGUGUUUGAUAUAUAUGAAAAAUAAGUGUUAAGAAGAAAAAAGAUAAAAUAUUUACUUUUUUUUAUUAUUAACAUGUGUAUUCGGAUCUACUUGCACGCAUCUCAAUUAAUCUCACGGAUACUAAAGUUAAUAACUAUGUAAGUCUUCAGUAACUCUAAAAUUUAUAGAACUCAAAUUGAUAACUUCUAAAAAAUAAAUUUAAAAUCUGACUAGAUAAGCUAUAUAUAACACAAUGACUUAUUGACCGAACUAAUAUUCUAACAUAUUUUUAUCUCUUGAAAACUGUAAAUUAUUUUCUCUUAUUUCAAAUUUGUUUUCUCUUUUAUUGUAAAAUAUUUCAAUGAUCAAAAAUGCAAUUCAUAUUAAAUCCAAAAAAAAAAAAUUAGGGCCUUCUAGAAACAAAACACAUACUUCAUACGUGUCACGAGUCCAUGUCUAGAAAUGAUUGCAGUGGUAGCUGAGGCUAUUAGAAAAGCCCAAUGUCCAAUUAAUUAGGCCUGUAAGCUAUUGGAUCUCAAUAACCCUCCUAGGCCCUAGCAGUAGACUGCUUUGGAAUUGCAGGCAAACAGGCUGAAGGUUUACUUUAAAGCUCUAGAAAAAUAAUUUAUUAAACCCGCUAACAAGGAUUAGGAUCCAAAAUAUAAUUUAGUGGGUCAAGUUGAUUCCGAUCGAUUCAAGCUUCAAACCGGACUAUUUAUUGUGUUAUUAGUACUAUUUCUAUGAUAUUAGGGUACACUGUACAAAGCACAUAUUGAUUAUUUUGAAACAUAAUACAGGAAAGCAACAUGCGAUUAUAAUCCAUGACAGCUUCUUCCUUUUCUCUCUAGCUAAUUCUCUCUCUUAUUCUAUUAUGAGUCUCCGAGGUAACUUGACAGAGAAUUAAGAUGUCACGAGGUUCUACAUUAAUCUUGCUGAAAGGAAAAUGCAUAGAACAGGUUGCUGUUCUAUUCAUUUUCAAUUCAGCAAGGUUAAUUUAUCCAAGAUCAUAGUGGGGUUGUUUUGCACUCAGAAACAAGAUAAUUUAUCCAGAAUGAAAAGGAAGCCAGAAGGUCCUCCAUCAGGAAGCAGCGCCAAUUUCACAGGAUACACUGCAGCUUCAUCAACCGAUAAGGUGCCGGUAUUAUUGCUCAUAUCUGUUUUGACAGACCCUGGACAGAUGCAAUUAAUGCAGAAAUUGGGGUGCUUCUUGGCUAGAAUCCUUGUGUGAGCAUUCAUGGCUGCUUUUGAGAGUACAUAGGCUGACAGUAAGGCUUAAUAAUUCAUCUAUUCUCUCCUCUGUAAAGGUAUCAACAUCACUGAACACUCCUUUAGCCCAUUCAUCUGGUAUAUUCUGAAAAAGGUGAAAAAUAACGCUUCAACUUUAAUUUGAAGCUGCUGAAGCGUCCGAGUCUAUUGUGGUUCCACGGAUCGCUGCAUUGUUCACCUGCAUAUGUUUCAAGCAGCCAUCAUGUCUUAGUUCUUCCACGUUACAGAACUCAGCAAUAUGAACAAUUUAUCAGGUUCGUUUGAACUAUUUUCAAGAACUUUAUAUCCCUUGACCUUAGUAACUGUAUAGUCGUUUACUUACAAAGAAAAAUAACAAUGGAAGUUGUUAGCAUAGCAAUUUUGAAAUUUUUUACUGAACCCUCUACUGCGACACCUUACUGUCUAAACCACUUCCUCAUUUGAAUGUGAGGUUGAAGAAAUACGGAAGCAGGAAAAUCAAGAUGAAGACAAUUUCUAAACUUAACCGAACUUUUACUUUUCCAUCUGGUAAUUCAUUAAACUGAGAAGAUUAACGCUAAACUGACUUUAGCACCAGAGGUUUUGUGUAAAUUGGCUCUCGGUCGUACCAAAAUAUCAAGUUUUCCAUAUUGACUUCUGAUGAAAUCAGCAAGAGAUGCAAAACUUGCAGGAUCCAUUACAUCAAGCAGAUGAAAGACCACAUGAUCGGAGAGACCAGAUUCGUUCAGUUUCUCAACAGCUUCAAGACCUCUCGAUCAUCUCUAGUUGUUAGCACCACCAUCACCCCCUUAGACGCCAACAGUUUUACUAUUCCCCAACCAAGCCCCUUGUUUGAUCCUGUAACAACUGCAUACCUAGCAAAAGAAUUUUCCCGGAAAAAAACUGUGGUCAGCAAAGAGAGAUUAACGUCAUCAGAAGCCAUGUAGGAAGUGUUGGAGAUACAAGUAAUGAUUCUUACCUCUUUGCUGAUUCUUCCAUAGAUGAUGAGGUACUGAAAUAUGAGCAUUACGAAUUCAUUUUUAUAAGGUUUUGUGGUUAGCUUAAUAUCACAGCAGUAUAUUCCUGACACUCUAGUGGGAGGACUGAGGAUAGGUCAGCUUUCUUUCGUCUUUCAUGUCCGUCUUGCGCGCAAUAAUCUGCUGAUGCAUCAAGCUGUCUGUCUUGCGCGCACAUAUAUUUAUAUAUAUUGAUUGCAUUGAUUGUUUCGUCUUUAAACUACUGAAAUUAAAAAUAAAUAAAGCAACUAUCCGGCACCCUUCACAUUGAUCAACAUAAAAUUCUAUUUCCAUCAUUAACAGAUUCCGAGUCCUCAAUUCUCAGACAUACAAACCAAAACUAGACGAAGACAGAGUGUGAGCAUCCAAGAAUGUGUUUGCAUUUUACAAUAGGCAAUUUAUAGAAAUCCAAAUCUCAUCAUAAUAUGUUAAGUUACUUCCAUCAUAAGGUUAGCUUGAUGCCUAUCAUUUCUCGCUUUAUGUGAAACAAAAUAAAGGACGCUGCGUAUCGGUCUCAUUCAUAUGCAUAGAUUUAGCUCAGAACUGAGUUUAAUCCAAUAAUACAUAAUGUUGUAAGACUACUUUAUCCAUCAGAAUCAUCUACUCAUUGUCAAAUGUGACCUGGUGCUUCGUAUUCCUGGAUUUCAUAAUUGGAGCAUUGCCAGAAUUGUAUUCCACGGGGCAUGAAUCUGGUUCAAUAUAUAACACGUGUUGGUGAUAAUAGCACAUUACACUCUGGAGAUAAUCAAGGCAGCAAUCAACGAGAAAAUCACUCCUAGCAUCAAGGAUCAAUCCAUGGAAAUCAAGACGUUAUGAGGAGCUGAUUAGUUGUGUAUAUAGAAUCUUAAAUAGCUUUUCUUAUAGAGCUGAUACUGUUAUUAUUAUCAGAUUGUAUUUGAUACUGUUAUUAUUAUUAGGCUGUAAUAGUUUUCUAUAUAAUGCAACAUUCUAAACCAUAAGCAUUACGCUGUGGUUUUCAUUAUUAUCUCUAAAACUCUACAACUGGAAGAUAAACUGCAACUUCUCACACAUCUAGACAAUAUCUUUCAGCUUAACCCGUCUGGGAUGAGAAUACAUCGACGAGAAAAUUUUCAAAACCCUGUAGCCGUUUUCUACAUCAUGAUUAUCAUGUUUGAUUUUCAUUCAAAAGCACGGUAGCAUUUGUUUCUGAUAAAAGAAACAACCAGAAGGCCCACCAUCAGGCAGCAAUGCCAAUCUCACAGCAUUUUCGGCUCCUUCGGCAGCGGUGAAGGGACCGGUGUUGGUAGUUAUGUCAGUUUUGCAAUAGCCAGGGCAGAGACAAUUGACGCGGAAGCUUGGAUACUUCUUGGCCAGAAUCCUUGUGUAGGCACUCAUGGCAGCUUUAGCAACAAUAUAGGCAGACAGAUAAGUUGGCCAGCCUUUGGAUCCCAACAAAUCUUCUUUAAAAUCUUUAAGAAACUCGUUCACAACCUCGUCUAGUCUAUCUUCAUUGAGAUUUUCAACAUCAUUCAACAAUCCUUUGGCCCAUUCAUUGGGUAUGUUCUAAGCCACAUAACAGGAAAAAAAACUCUGGUAAGACUGCUUAUAGAAAUGCUGCAAGUACAAGACUAUUCCUGUAAUGUUAAUCGUUAUGAGCUAACACAGGAAGUGAAUUUGCAUUUGCGGAACAAUGUGUGCAUGAAAGUACCAAGCAGGGGAGAAUAUGACAAACAGAGAUUAUAGGAAAAAUCAUGUUUUCUAGGAGUUGUAUUCUUGGACAUUACCAUAAAGAAAGUACGAUAAUUCAGAAUAAGAAAGCAUGUAAAUGUUACUGCACAUCAACCAGUCUAGAAGUCAAAUUUGAAGAUCAGACAACUGCUAGUUUCAAUCUGGACCAAAAUACCAAGACUCCAUUAUUGAAAGACAGUCGUGUACCUUUAAAAGCCCCAGCAGUGAAGAGACAUUUACAAUUCUUGGUGAAUCAGACAGCUGUAGGAGGGGCGCAAGUGCUUCAGCCAUUCCUCUUGCACCAUAGUAGUUUGUUUUCACACAUUGUUCUGCCAUCUCAUAAUUUUGAGUUCCAAUUUCAUCCCACACUUGCUCCCCAGAUGGCUGCAUUUGAACAAAAGAAAUUUAGACCCUCUCCAACACUUCAUAGACCAUAUCCACGGAAACAAAUGAAAAUCCACUUAAUUUACUACUCAAAAUAACCUCAAUAUCCGUUAAAUGAUGAUUAAAAGCGAUAAUUAGUCCCAAUACCUGAUUCCUGGUCUAUCAAAGGGUUACGUAAAUAUAGAUAGCACAGGCAAUGAUCUUCCGAGUGAUUAGUCUAUCUAUGACUUGCGUCCUUCUCUUGUAGUCAUUACAAUAUAAAGACUUACAAAUUCACCAGCUUGUUCAAAGGCUCUUUGAAAAGCAUCUGCCUCUAGUGCAACUCCACCAAUCCCAGCAUUGUUCACCUGCACAAGAUUACAAGAUUUUCAAGAAACUAUCAGAUAAACAUAAAUAAAUAAAAGGAUUAGCCCAAGAAAUUCAUUACUUCAUACCAAGAUGUCAAGUUUUCCGAAAUUAUUUUUCACAAAUUCAGCAAGGGAAAUAAUGCUAUCAGGGUCAACUACAUCAAGUUGAUGGUAAAUCACAAGGUCAUCAGAGAUGCCAGAAUCUUUCAGCUUUUGAACAGCUUCAAGACCCCUUUUUUCAUCUCUGGCUGUUAACACCACCAAAAUCCCAUUAGAAGCCAACUGCCUACAUAUCUCAUAUCCAAUCCCCUUGUUUGCUCCUGUCACAACUGCAUACCUGAGACAGAAAUACUUUAAGAACGUAA
rnacentral:lncRNA from 1 species